rnacentral:tRNA from 1 species
AGGAUUAUAGUUUAAUAAACAUUUGACUUGCAUUCAAAAAUUAUUGAUUUUGAAAUCAAUUUAUCUUA